GUCUUCGUGGUGCAGUGGUCAGCACACUCGGCGUGUAUUCGAGAGGUCCGUGGUUCGAGUCCUGGCGAGGGCA
rnacentral:tRNA from 1 species